rnacentral:rRNA from 1 species
AGCGUACACGGUGGAUGCCCUGGCAGUCAGAGGCGAUGAAGGACGUGCUAAUCUGCGAUAAGCGUCGGUAAGGUGAUAUGAACCGUUAUAACCGGCGAUUUCCGAAUGGGGAAACCCAGUGUGUUUCGACACACUAUCAUUAACUGAAUCCAUAGGUUAAUGAGGCGAACCGGGGGAACUGAAACAUCUAAGUACCCCGAGGAAAAGAAAUCAACCGAGAUUCCCCCAGUAGCGGCGAGCGAACGGGGAGGAGCCCAGAGCCUGAAUCAGUGUGUGUGUUAGUGGAAGCGUCUGGAAAGGCGCGCGAUACAGGGUGACAGCCCCGUACACAAAAAUGCACAUAUUGUGAGCUCGAUGAGUAGGGCGGGACACGUGGUAUCCUGUCUGAAUAUGGGGGGACCAUCCUCCAAGGCUAAAUACUCCUGACUGACCGAUAGUGAACCAGUACCGUGAGGGAAAGGCGAAAAGAACCCCGGCGAGGGGAGUGAAAAAGAACCUGAAACCGUGUACGUACAAGCAGUGGGAGCCUCUUUUAUGGGGUGACUGCGUACCUUUUGUAUAAUGGGUCAGCGACUUAUAUUCUGUAGCAAGGUUAACCGAAUAGGGGAGCCGAAGGGAAACCGAGUCUUAACUGGGCGUUAAGUUGCAGGGUAUAGACCCGAAACCCGGUGAUCUAGCCAUGGGCAGGUUGAAGGUUGGGUAACACUAACUGGAGGACCGAACCGACUAAUGUUGAAAAAUUAGCGGAUGACUUGUGGCUGGGGGUGAAAGGCCAAUCAAACCGGGAGAUAGCUGGUUCUCCCCGAAAGCUAUUUAGGUAGCGCCUCGUGAAUUCAUCUCCGGGGGUAGAGCACUGUUUCGGCAAGGGGGUCAUCCCGACUUACCAACCCGAUGCAAACUGCGAAUACCGGAGAAUGUUAUCACGGGAGACACACGGCGGGUGCUAACGUCCGUCGUGAAGAGGGAAACAACCCAGACCGCCAGCUAAGGUCCCAAAGUCAUGGUUAAGUGGGAAACGAUGUGGGAAGGCCCAGACAGCCAGGAUGUUGGCUUAGAAGCAGCCAUCAUUUAAAGAAAGCGUAAUAGCUCACUGGUCGAGUCGGCCUGCGCGGAAGAUGUAACGGGGCUAAACCAUGCACCGAAGCUGCGGCAGCGACACUAUGUGUUGUUGGGUAGGGGAGCGUUCUGUAAGCCUGUGAAGGUGUGCUGUGAGGCAUGCUGGAGGUAUCAGAAGUGCGAAUGCUGACAUAAGUAACGAUAAAGCGGGUGAAAAGCCCGCUCGCCGGAAGACCAAGGGUUCCUGUCCAACGUUAAUCGGGGCAGGGUGAGUCGACCCCUAAGGCGAGGCCGAAAGGCGUAGUCGAUGGGAAACAGGUUAAUAUUCCUGUACUUGGUGUUACUGCGAAGGGGGGACGGAGAAGGCUAUGUUGGCCGGGCGACGGUUGUCCCGGUUUAAGCGUGUAGGCUGGUUUUCCAGGCAAAUCCGGAAAAUCAAGGCUGAGGCGUGAUGACGAGGCACUACGGUGCUGAAGCAACAAAUGCCCUGCUUCCAGGAAAAGCCUCUAAGCAUCAGGUAACAUCAAAUCGUACCCCAAACCGACACAGGUGGUCAGGUAGAGAAUACCAAGGCGCUUGAGAGAACUCGGGUGAAGGAACUAGGCAAAAUGGUGCCGUAACUUCGGGAGAAGGCACGCUGAUAUGUAGGUGAAGUCCCUCGCGGAUGGAGCUGAAAUCAGUCGAAGAUACCAGCUGGCUGCAACUGUUUAUUAAAAACACAGCACUGUGCAAACACGAAAGUGGACGUAUACGGUGUGACGCCUGCCCGGUGCCGGAAGGUUAAUUGAUGGGGUUAGCGCAAGCGAAGCUCUUGAUCGAAGCCCCGGUAAACGGCGGCCGUAACUAUAACGGUCCUAAGGUAGCGAAAUUCCUUGUCGGGUAAGUUCCGACCUGCACGAAUGGCGUAAUGAUGGCCAGGCUGUCUCCACCCGAGACUCAGUGAAAUUGAACUCGCUGUGAAGAUGCAGUGUACCCGCGGCAAGACGGAAAGACCCCGUGAACCUUUACUAUAGCUUGACACUGAACAUUGAGCCUUGAUGUGUAGGAUAGGUGGGAGGCUUAGAAGUGUGGACGCCAGUCUGCAUGGAGCCGACCUUGAAAUACCACCCUUUAAUGUUUGAUGUUCUAACGUUGACCCGUGAUCCGGGUUGCGGACAGUGUCUGGUGGGUAGUUUGACUGGGGCGGUCUCCUCCUAAAGAGUAACGGAGGAGCACGAAGGUUGGCUAAUCCUGGUCGGACAUCAGGAGGUUAGUGCAAUGGCAUAAGCCAGCUUGACUGCGAGCGUGACGGCGCGAGCAGGUGCGAAAGCAGGUCAUAGUGAUCCGGUGGUUCUGAAUGGAAGGGCCAUCGCUCAACGGAUAAAAGGUACUCCGGGGAUAACAGGCUGAUACCGCCCAAGAGUUCAUAUCGACGGCGGUGUUUGGCACCUCGAUGUCGGCUCAUCACAUCCUGGGGCUGAAGUAGGUCCCAAGGGUAUGGCUGUUCGCCAUUUAAAGUGGUACGCGAGCUGGGUUUAGAACGUCGUGAGACAGUUCGGUCCCUAUCUGCCGUGGGCGCUGGAGAACUGAGGGGGGCUGCUCCUAGUACGAGAGGACCGGAGUGGACGCAUCACUGGUGUUCGGGUUGUCAUGCCAAUGGCACUGCCCGGUAGCUAAAUGCGGAAGAGAUAAGUGCUGAAAGCAUCUAAGCACGAAACUUGCCCCGAGAUGAGUUCU